GACGAACGCUGGCGGCGUGCUUAACACAUGCAAGUCGAACGGAAAGGCCCUGCUUUUGUGGGGUGCUCGAGUGGCGAACGGGUGAGUAACACGUGAGUAACCUGCCCUUGACUUUGGGAUAACUUCAGGAAACUGGUGCUAAUACCGGAUAGGAGCUCCUGCUGCAUGGUGGGGGUUGGAAAGUUUCGGCGGUUGGGGAUGGACUCGCGGCUUAUCAGCUUGUUGGGGGGGUAGUGGCUUACCAAGGCUUUGACGGGUAGCCGGCCUGAGAGGGUGACCGGCCACAUUGGGACUGAGAUACGGCCCAGACUCCUACGGGAGGCAGCAGUGGGGAAUAUUGCACAAUGGGCGGAAGCCUGAUGCAGCAACGCCGCGUGCGGGAUGACGGCCUUCGGGUUGUAAACCGCUUUCGCCUGUGACGAAGCGUGAGUGACGGUAAUGGGUAAAGAAGCACCGGCUAACUACGUG
rnacentral:rRNA from 1 species